GACAGGGAACAACGUGACCAUCCCCCUCUCAUUGUGUGUGUAAAUGUGUGUGUAUCAAAGAGGUGCAAUUAAAAUUGGUGGACCGGGCGAUACAAACUCCUCCAUUCUUCAACAAGGGAAUCGUCCAGACGUGUCCACCACAGGGCCCUACGCUAUUAAUGGCGAAUAAGAAACCUGAGGCGUUCUGCUGAAUCCUCCAGACAGCUGAAUGUGCUUAAAGGGCAAGGCAGCUACGAGCACCCAAAUAUCAACCGACCCAAAAAUGGGUUUCGACUUUGCACCGCCCCAACAUUCUAUUGGUUCUUUACUCAUCUUUUUGUGCCCACGCUGAAAUCUCUAUGCUUCCGGCGGAACAGUUGACAGCAAAGGGACUUCAAGCUGUUGUGAUUUUGGCAUCCAGACCUCUCAUCUGCAUCACAAACCAAAAGCCCUCCAGCUGACAACUCAGUAAGACAGUCUAUUACAGAGACUGAGGAAGGCCCUGGGGUACACAUAUGGGAAGGAGAUAACACGUGGGGGUAGCAGCGGAGGGCUGAACAGGCUGCAGGCAAGUGCAAUGAUGGGUGUUGAUUUUCUGAGCAUGUGAGAGCGCACCACGUUAAUCAAUGACUGUGUGUUUCUGUGUUGUGUAGAUUAAGGCGUAUUUCUGUGUGUGUCUAAGCCUCUCUCUCUUCUUCUAUAUCUUUAUCUUGCUCUCCCACAGCCCACCCAGUAAAGGUAGAGAGAGAAACAAUAAGAUGUGUGUGGGAGUGAGCAGGGUGAGACUCAGAUAUAGAAUUAAGUGUGUUAUUACUACUGGGACAGGAUUUGCAGGCAGCAGCCUGCCAGAAGCCUCGCUCCCUGUCUUGGCUUGAGAUAAACAUUAUAUAUGUACACAGAUGUAAUUCAAAAUAUUACUAAACAUAAAUCCUUAGAAAGGUAAAGAAGCAUUGCUGUUUUCAACAUUGCCUCUGUUUCAAAAAUGUACUUUUUUUAAUGUAAAAAUGUUCUCUUUUAUGAUGACAGGGGAAAUGCACACCACAGUGAAAGCUUGCAGAACCUCUUAGUUCCAUUGUGGGAACCAGAAGGGAACUUUGUAGGAGUUCACCUGUUCCUUCUGUUUAUGGCACAACUAGAACUCUUUUUAGAAUUUACCUUUCUAGGUAAAUUGAGAGUCAUUUGAGACUAAUUUAUUUGAUCAAGCUUUAGAUUAUGGGCAAAUUGACUCACAGUUAAAUCUUACCUUAUGCUACACAAAAUUCAUGAUAAAAUAAGCAAGUGAUUGCAGAUCGCUCAGGUCUUCAUAAAAGUAGCUUUUAAUAUUUUUUUGUGCCAAAAUCUGUCUACAGUUUGGUGGUAAAAUCCCACAAAUUUUAGGUUUUGGACUUCUCAUUACCAAAGAACUGCAGAUGUUCAAAAUAAUUUUGUGUUCCUUUGAACUAUCUUUGAAGUGCCAAUCCAUUCCUGUUAAAUCUUUUGAUUUGGAAAAAUAAUCCAAUGGCCAGCACAGUACCUAGAACAGCAGUUCAGGAAGCAUUUAAGGUUUACUUCACCAUCAAGGGUGUCAACCCUGUUUCCUAAAAUUGUAGCUUCUCUGACUUAUCCUGAGCUGUGCUGCCAGAAUGGGCAUUUUUUAUUUGACAAAACUUGCUUAGGGCAGAUGGACAUAAUAUGCGCAAGUUUGGCAUCAGUUCAGAAGUUAUUCAGACACAUUUAAACCAGACUCAAUGCCACACACAUGGAUUAUUGAAUUCUUGGACCUGUACAACAUCAACAGGACUCUAAGAGCCUUCAUAGGAAACUCAAUGAAGCUGUGGA